rnacentral:rRNA from 1 species
GACGAACGCUGGCGGCGUGCUUAACACAUGCAAGUCGAACGAGCGGCGGACGGGUGAGUAAUGUAUGGGGACUGCCCGAUAGAGGGGGAUAACUACUGGAAACGGUGGCUAAUAACGCAUACUAUCGGAUAACCCAUAUGGGAUUAGCUAGUAGGUGGGGUAAAGGCUCACCUAGGCGACGAUCUCUAGCUGGUCUGAGAGGAUGAUUAGCCACACUGGGACUGCGACACGGCCCAGACUCCUCCGGAGGCAGCAGUGGGGAAUAUUGCACAAUGGGCGCAAGCCUGAUGCAGCGACGCCGCGUGGGGGAUGAAGGCUUUCGGGUUGUAAACCUCUUUCGCUAUCGAACGGGUAGGUGGAGAAGAAGUGCCGGCUAACUACGUGCCAGCCGCCGCGGUAAUAC